rnacentral:lncRNA from 1 species
ACAAAGGUGUCGUCGAGGUUACCGUCCUUUGCGAUGAUGAGUGGAGGUGUUCUUGGUGUAGAUACCAAGAUGAUGGAGACUCGUCCCUAAGUAGCCGAAACACCUUAGGAAACGGAAAAACCGCAAACUCAAAAUCUCAAAUGACAAAUGUCAAAUGGUGGUAGCGGAAAGCGGUGGUGGUGUUGCACUAGGCAAUGCGGAUGGAAUGAUGGGCUAUACACAUGUCAAAGUUGAAGCUACCGUCCCUAAGUAGCCGAAACACCUUAGGAGACACAAGCCACAACUCAAACAAGCUCAAACAACUAUUGGGUUAAGUUGGGUUGUCGGAAGUGUAUGGUGGGCAAGGUUAUGUGGAAGUGGUGGUGGUGGUUGAUGAAGAAGCAAUCGUCCCUAAGUAGCCGAAACACCUUAGGAGACUCGAAUCACUACUCAAGCAACCACUAAUGCUAUGGGGUACAAAAUGGGUUAGGUUGCGGAAGUCGGUGGUGG